AGUUUUACUGGACGAAAAAUUAUCUUUGAGAAUAAUAUAACAGGGAAAUACGUACAUAGUCUUUGAAUAAGUAACCAAGAACAACUCAUUAUAUUUAAAUUAUUCAAUAUUAGGAUAGGACAACUGUUGUAUCUUGUAGAUUUCUAUAGAUACAUGAUUACCUAUAUAAAUAAUGAUAACAUAAAAAGACCAUCAUCAGUUUGCACAAGUUUUUUAAAUUCCUACAAAAUUUAAACAAUAUUUUGUACAUCUAAACUGUAACUGUAAAGGCCUAAUUCAUCAUAAGUUUUGGUAUAAUAUUAUAAUUUUAUAGUAGCCAUAGUUUUGACAAGAGAUUAAAUAGAAUAAACCAGAAAUGGAAGUAUUGUUAAUGAAAACCAGACGUCUUACUUAAAACAUUAAAGAAAAUUCAUUGACUUUAUGAAAAAAAAAAAUUGCAUCUGCUUCAGAAUAGUAAUGAACAUACCGUUGUGAGGGUUACUGAAGUGCAAAAUUGAGGAUGAACCAGUUUGUAUGCUACCAACUGUUUGAACAACUGAUUUUUUCGCAACAUAAUAUAUUAACGAUGCUUACCAACGUUUAUAACAAAAUAUCUUAUAAUGUUAUAAUAUGGUAAUAAAUGUAGUGAAGUUAAAAAAAAA